rnacentral:rRNA from 1 species
CAGCAGCCGCCGCGGUAAAACGUAGGUGGCAAGCGUUGUCCGGAACUAUUGGGCGUAAAGCGCGCGCAGGUGGUUUAAUAAGUCUGAUGUGAAAGCCCACGGCUCAACCGUGGAGGGUCAUUGGAAACUGUUAAACUUGAGUGCAGGAGAGAAAAGUGGAAUUCCUAGUGUAGCGGUGAAAUGCGUAGAGAUUAGGAGGAACACCAGUGGCGAAGGCGGCUUUUUGGCCUGUAACUGACACUGAGGCGCGAAAGCGUGGGGGGCAAACAGGAUUAGAUACCUCAGUAGUCCCUGUCUCUUAUAA